ensembl:snRNA U2 U2 spliceosomal RNA
AUCGCUUCUCGGCCUUUUGGCUAAGAUCAAGUGUAGAAAAUACUAUCAGCUUUAGGUUUUUUUUUGGGCAGGGGGGAAGAGGCAGGGACCAGGAAUUGAACUCAGAGCCUUGCACUUGCCAGGCAGGCCCUGCGCCACUG